GCGCAGCAGUCGCGAAAACUUUGCAAUAAGCGAAAGCUUGACAGGGCUAUCCCGAGUGCCAUCCGCUGAGGAAGGCUUUUACCCAGUCUAGAAAGCUGGGGGAAUAAGGAGAGGGCAAGUCUGGUGUCAGCCGCCGCGGUAAUACCAGCUCUCCGAGUGGUGGGGACGUUUAUUGGGCCUAAAGCAUCCGUAGCUGGCUGAGUUAGUCCCCUGUUAAAUCCACCGAAUUAAUCGUUGGAUUGCGGGGGAUACUGCUCGGCUAGGGGACGGGAGAGGCAGACGGUAUUUUCGGGGUAGGGGUGAAAUCCUAUAAUCCCGGGAAGACCACCAGUGGCGAAGGCUGUCUGCUAGAACGCGCCCGACGGUGAGGGAUGAAAGCUGGGGGAGCGAACCGGAUUAGAUACCCGGGUAGUCC
rnacentral:rRNA from 1 species